CGAUCGUUCAACCAAGCAAGACCGUAGCCAUUUCGUCACACGGGCUCGCACCGUAAGCCCGAAUGUCCUUGGCAAGGGAUCGUGAAGCGAGGGACUUGGGAAGGUUCUUCACGACAACUUCCUGGGAAAUGUCAAGAGAAUCUCCGGACUCCUCUACAACAAGACCAGCGACGCGUUCCAAACGUGCCAGUAAUAGUGAGUUGAGGUAGAUGAUGUAUGCUCGUCUUUAACCGAUACCGCACCGUACGCUGAAAUGUGCGGACAAUGGAGACAAGGGUUGCCGAAGGCAGCGCCAAGAGUCACCGUGAAGUUCUUCACAAGGUCCGGGGAGAUGUCAGAAAAAUCUCCGGCGCAUCUUGAAGACCCACAGUGCUCGAAACGAAUAUCAGUAUUGGAGCCAGCAAGCCAGGAUCAACUGCAUGCAACUAUCCAGGGUGGGACUUAUCCUUGACUGUCCGAUAGCUAGUUGUACGGUGACGUCCAGAAAGAUCGGUGCUCGAGUGUACGUCGAGCCCUACCAGAGGACCUGAAACUUAGUUAAGUUCUUGUGUGUUUUAUGGGGUGUAAAUUGCCUAGCCUUAGCUUAGCAAACUCAUGGUAGAUGGUAAGGUGCUUGAGUGGGUUUUGUUGACAUGCCGAGUGAUGAUGCUGGUAGGGGUUCACAUUCGGAUACUUUGUAAGUGAAGGCUCCUUUUGAAUUCGGGGCCGCUUUAGCUCAUUUCUGUGGUGCACAGGCCUGGUGUGUGGCU